rnacentral:siRNA from 1 species
GUAAAUGUAAAUGCUAUUAAUGGU